GCAAGGUCACCGCCUAAUCGGCCACCUCUUCCGGGUGGUCGUACCGGGAACCCACCGUUACACCGGGGUGAAUCCCAUCGAGUCGCCUGGCGGCUCGAUGAGUAGGGCUGAUCUUCCCAGCCCGAACCCGUCAGCUAACUCGGUCGGCGGAUAUCAGGAAGAAA
rnacentral:sRNA from 2 species